rnacentral:rRNA from 2 species
UGUGACCUCAAAUCAGGUAGGACUAC